AAUCAACGCUGGCGGCGUGCCUCAGACAUGCAAGUCGAACGCGAAAUCCCGAGCGAUCGGGAAAGUAGAGUGGCGCACGGGUGAGUAACACGUAGGUAAUCUACCUUCGGGUGGGGAAUAACCCCGGGAAACCGGGGCUAAUACCGCAUAAUGCAGCGGCACCUAAUGGUGACAGUUGUUAAAGCGGGGGAUCGCAAGACCUCGCGCCUGAAGAGGAGCCUGCGGCGGAUUAGCUAGUUGGCAGGGUAACGGCCUACCAAGGCGACGAUCCGUAGCCGGCCUGAGAGGGCGGUCGGCCACACUGACACUGACAUACGGGUCAGACUCCUACGGGAGGCAGCAGUCGGGAAUUUUGGGCAAUGGGCGAAAGCCUGACCCAGCAACGCCGCGUGAAGGAUGAAAUCCCUCGGGAUGUAAACUUCGCAAGAACGGGGAGAAUAAGCCGGUGACAACACCACCGGCGAUGACGGUACCGUUUGUAAGCUCCGGCUAACUCCGUGCCAGCAGCCGCGGUAAUACGGGGGG
rnacentral:rRNA from 1 species